GAUGAACGCUAGCGGCAGGCUUAACACAUGCAAGUCGAGGGGCAGCAGGGGUAGCAAUACCCGCUGGCGACCGGCAAACGGGUGCGGAACACGUACACAAUCUACCUUUAUCUGGGGCAUAGCCCGAAGAAAUUCGGAUUAACACCCCAUAAAAUAGCAGUCUGGCAUCAGAUAACUAUUAAAUCUCCGGAGGAUAGAGAUGAGUGUGCGUCCCAUUAGCAGUUGGUAGGGUAAAGGCCUACCAAGGCUACGAUGGGUAGCUGGUGUGAGAGCACGACCAGCCACACGGGCACUGAGACACGGGCCCGACUCCUACGGGAGGCAGCAGUGAGGAAUAUUGGUCAAUGGACGCAAGUCUGAACCAGCCAUGCCGCGUGAAGGAUGGAGGGCGUUCUGCGUUGUUAAACUUCUUUUAUCUGGGAAGAAACCCGAGUAUUCUUAUUCGGCCGACGGUACCAGA
rnacentral:rRNA from 1 species